rnacentral:rRNA from 1 species
GUAGGUGGCAAGCGUUGUCCGGAAUUAUUGGGCGUAAAGCGCGCGCAGGCGGCUCUUUAAGUCUGAUGUGAAAGCCCACGGCUCAACCGUGAAGGGUCAUUGGAAACUGGAGAACUUGAGUACAGAAGAGGAAAGCGGAAUUCCACGUGUAGCGGUGAAAUGCGUAGAGAUGUGGAGGAACACCAGUGGCGAAGGCGGCUUUCUGGUCUGUAACUGACGCUGAGGCGCGAAAGCGUGGGGGAGCAAACAGGAUUAGAUACCCUGGUAGUCCACGCCGUAAACGAUGAGUGCUAAGUGUUAGGGGGUUUCCGCCCCUUAGUGCUGCAGCUAACGCAUUAAGCACUCCGCCUGGGAGUACGGCCGCAAGGCUG